rnacentral:misc_RNA from 1 species
UCUAUUUAGUUUAUAUCUUCUUAUAAUGUUUUAGUUUAUCUAAAUUUCUUAGAAAGUAGAUUAUAGUCCUAUUAGGUUUAGGACUCCAAACAACUCUAUAAAUACCUUUAUUUCUAUGUAAUUUGAGAGAGUUUUUCACUUAAUAAAAAUCCAACAGAGAAUUUUCUCUAUCUUUUCACCCUUGUGUAUGGAGUGUGUUUCUGUUUAAACUUCACGUUGCGUCAUUUGUCAACAUUAUUUUUCUAUGUAGUUAUCCUUUGUGAUGUAAUUG